rnacentral:rRNA from 1 species
UACGAAAGGAGCAGGUGUUAUUCAGAUUAACUGGGCGUAAAGGGCACGUAGGUGGUUUGUACAGUCAGAUGUGAAAUUCCUGGGCUCAACCUGGGGGCUGCAUUUGAUACGUAUGGACUGGAGUGAGGAAGAGGGUCGUGGAAUUCCCAGUGUAGAGGUGAAAUUCGUAGAUAUUGGGAAGAACACCGGUGGCGAAGGCGGCGACCUGGUCCUUUACUGACGCUGAGGCGCGAAAGCGUGGGGAGCAAACAGG